rnacentral:rRNA from 1 species
UGGGCGUAAAGCGUGCGUAGGUGGCAUGUUAAGUCAGAUGUGAAAGCCCUGGGCUUAACCUGGGAACGGCAUUUGAAACUGGCAAGCUAGAGUUGAGUAGAGGGGGGCGGAAUUUCCGGUGUAGCGGUGAAAUGCGUAGAUAUCGGAAGGAACACCCGUGGCGAAGGCGGCUCCCUGGACUCAAACUGACGCUGAGGUACGAAAGCGUGGGUAGCAAACAGGAUUAGAUACCCUGGUAGUCCACGCUGUAAACGAUGUCAACUAGCCGUUGGUCCUUCAAGGAGGAUUAGUGGCGCAGCUAACGCAUUAAGUUGACCGCCUGGGGAGUACGGCCGCAAGGUUAAAACUCAAAUGAAUUGACGGGGGCCCGCACAAGCGGUGGAGCAUGUGGUUUAAUUCGAUGCAACGCGAAGAACCUUACCUACCCUUGACAUCCAAUGAAUCGCUUAGAGAUAGGCGAGUGCCUUCGGGAACAUUGAGACAGGUGCUGCAUGGGCUGUCGUCAGCUCGUGUUGUGAAAUGUUGGGUUAAGUCCCGUAACGAGCGCAACCCUUAUCCUUAGUUGCCAACAGGUCAUGCUGGGAACUCUAGGGAGACUGCCGCUGAUAAAGCGGAGGAAGGUGGGGACGACGUCAAGUCAUCAUGGCCCUUAUGGGUAGGGCUACACACGUGCUACAAUGGCCGGUACAGAGGGCAGCGAAACCGCGAGGUCAAGCAAAUCCCAGAAAGCCGGUCUUAGUCCGGAUUGGAGUCUGCAACUCGACUCCAUGAAGUCGGAAUCGCUAGUAAUCGCGAAUCA